rnacentral:piRNA from 1 species
GAUUAUGAUGAUGCCUUAACACUGACU